rnacentral:rRNA from 1 species
UACGUAGGCCCCGAGCGUUGUCCGGAUUUAUUGGGCGUAAAGCGAGCGCAGGUGGUUUAUUAAGUCUGGUGUAAAAGGCAGUGGCUCAACCAUUGUAUGCAUUGGAAACUGGUAGACUUGAGUGCAGGAGAGGAGAGUGGAAUUCCAUGUGUAGCGGUGAAAUGCGUAGAUAUAUGGAGGAACACCGGUGGCGAAAGCGGCUCUCUGGUCUGUAACUGACGCUGAGGUUCGAAAGCGUGGGUAGCAAACAGG